UCCCCGCCCUUCCUACGCUCCCCGAGGCCCGCCUCUUUCCACUGACCCCGGCCAAUCUGCAGAGGGCGAGGAUGACAGGCACCUACAGCAGCCAAUCGGAGGACAUAGGCCGGGUCGGGCGCGGCCCGGUGAACCGGAUUCAGAGCCUGAGGCUGCCUUCCAGAGCUCGUGCGCCUGUUACCAUAUGCUUUGUAUUCUCCCAAAUUCUAUCAUUACCAUGUGCUUGAUAAUCUCCCGAGCUCCACUUCGUGUCACCUUUCGUUCUUUCUGGGCAGAGCAUUCCCUUCCCGGAGGAGAGAACUUCUGCACCUUCAAGAAUCAACGAAAGCAUCACCUCCUCUGUGAAGCCUUCUCUGAUUCUUCCAGGCAAACUUAAGUUCUCCUUCGUCUGUUCACUCGGCCCUUGAUCCCUUUUAUUCUUACGUAGUAUCAUUGUUGGUUUGCUAGUCUGUUUUCCCCAGACCGUGACCUCCUUGGGAUCAGAGUGAACAGACGAUUCAGUUUCACCGAGAGCUUGAUAAUAAAAAUUAGAGGAUACACAGAGAAGAAGGGGAAAGUUAGGCGCAUGAUUAUGAGUUCAGAGGAGAAAUUUGGACAGAUAUGCACAGAAAGAAGACAAUGUGAAGAUGUGAUGGCAGAGGCAGAUAUUGGACUCAUGCAUCUGCAAGCCAAGGAAUGCCAAAGAUAGAUGGCCACCACCAGAAGCUAGGAAGAGGCAAGAAAGAAGUUUCAAUGGAAACAGGACACUGCUAGUACCUUGAUUUUGGACUUCAAACCCCCAGAU